rnacentral:misc_RNA from 1 species
GGCAAUUUAAUUAACUUAGAUAUUUUAUUUUGUUUUGUUUCAAUUCUUAUACCUCACUUGGCUUGUUUAAUCACUUUUCAGGAGUUAUUGUUUAGUUUAUGACCAGAGCUAAACUAAAGGAGGAAUUGCUUGAAUUAGAACAAAAAAAAUAGACAGAACUCUAAAAGGCAUUAAAAAGGGGAAGAGGAAACAAGAGGGUAAAUCUUCGAGUAGGACACCAAGCCUCUAAGAGACUAUGGUGCACCUAACAUUCAAGGAUUUCAACCAAG